GCACAAUACUGGAUCUUCAAUGAGUUACUUUCUAUUUUUCACUCGGCAACCGGCUGCAGAUUUCACUCGGCCAACUUCGGUUACUCCUCUACACCAAACCAUGUUUCCAAACAGAAUUAUCUUUCCGUGACCCGCAAAUUAUAUUUUUAACUGGUUUGCUUUUGGCGCAAUAUUCUGAUGUUUAGGCUAACACUGUUUUUAACGGCGUCAGCUUCUUAUAUUUAUUGGGCUACAAACACUAAACAGUUGUCUUUUAUUUUCUGAGGAGAUUUUCUGACCUGGGUAAUGUAAAUGAAGUUUGUUACUUUAUAGUAGGCUAGUAUUUGACUAAAACUGCAUAAAUCAAAUCUUAAUCAUAGAUGUACCGAUUGUAAAUAAUUUUUUUUGCUGACGAAGUCUUUUCUAACUUUUGGGAAGAAAAGUAUAGAAAAUAUUUCCAAUUAUCUAUCUUGAGAUCACAGAGAUUGAAUGCUGCAGGUCUUGUGUUUAGUGUAUAGACUAAUUGGUGGAUGUUAUUAACAUUAACCUUUUAGCAAAGGUUAGCUUGAUGAUGUUACUGACUUUGCAGUGUAGUGGAAGAUAUUAACCUAACUUUGGUAGACAACAAGCCUAACCCUGAAGUCAACGAUGUACAAUAUGUCAGUGUCACUGUUCCACUACCAAACGUAACGCGAAUAUAAACAAUACUUACGGGUACAUGUAUUUACUUUGAUUGAAAUGAGGUCAACUUUAAAAUUUGUGUAGAUGUGUUAUUUGUUGUAACAGUU